AGUCCUUUAAACAUGCUGGGAACCUUCCUCAACAAGGCUGAGAUUACUGGACAUUACUUAGCUGUUCCAUAUCAUCAGUCCAUAGACUCAUACUAGCACCAAGACAAACUAAGCCUUUGGACCUUUUCCACACGAUGCAUUAAAGUAAAGAAAGAAGAGAUGACUAUGACUUUAUGAGCUUCGGAAGGUCUUGCAGGAAGCCAUGAACAGAUCCAGAGGUGGAAUCUGUG